rnacentral:rRNA from 1 species
UACGUAGGGUGCAAGCGUUGUUCGGAAUUACUGGGCGUAAAGGGCUCGUAGGCGGCCAAUUAAGUCCGACGUGAAAUCCCCAGGCUUAACCUGGGAACUGCGUCGGAUACUGAUUGGCUUGAAUCCGGGAGAGGGAAGUGGAAUUCCCGGUGUAGUGGUGAAAUGCGUAGAUAUCGGGAGGAACACCAGUGGCGAAGGCGACUUCCUGGCCUGUUCUUGACGCUGAGGCGCGAAAGCUAGGGGAGCAAACGGG